ensembl:lncRNA
CUCGACGAAGGGGUGUCACACCAAAUUACUGAAUUCAUUAGCCGAGAUGGGAGUUACACGCAAAUAGGGUUGGAGAACCUUAUGACAUACAGUUCCAGCUCGGAAGAAAGCAUGGCGAUGGAGAAGAGAAUUCCGCGGAAAAGGGCACGACCUCAACGUCUGAUUGACGAGAAUGACGAAGAAGCCGAAACAUCAACACCACCUGCACCAACACAGCAGGUGUCCUUAAUGAAAAUUAAGGAAGAAAUCACUUUUUUAACGUGUUUCUACCAGAGCAUGCUAUCCAGAGGUAUAAAAAGGUCCUGCAGUACAUCGAUAAGGGAGUCACCAAAACCCUGGCUUACCGCAAGUGUGGGAUUGACCGAAAAACCAUUGUUGACACUGCAGCAAUAGCGGAGCUGGAUGCGUGUGACACUGAAGCCUACAAGAGCUUGCGUGAAAAUUUUCAUAGAGGGCAAAAACUGUCACAAUUUGCAGAGAAAUGCAGGGAAAUUUGCAAGAAAGAGCCACUUCAAACUUUGAUUGAAGAUAAAAAGAAAAAUGGCCAGCUAAUUGACCUCUGUCACAGACAAAAAUAACUUUUGUUCACAUGUGUGUUGGCAAGGUUGAAGUUCAGGCCUUGAGAGUUGACGUUUUAUAGUUUUUA